GAAUGCAGUCUCCGCGACCGUGGCCUUUGCCUUUAAUUGUCAACGGAUCUUCAGUGCUGCGGAUUGGGUUGAGCCCUCACUGUUUUCACACUCUUUAUCCUGUCAUUUUGACUGGAUUCUCCCCACAGACGGAUUUCUAGUGCUGUAAUGAAUUCCACUCCAAGACACUGGUUGUGUCCCAAAUGACAUCCUAUUUCCAUUUGAGAAAUAUUGAUGGAUGAAGUGUUUGGUGAUACAAAGCACAACCUUCCCUUUCAAAAGCCUGGCUCUGCCCUUCUUAAAACAAAACACCAAUCACAGUCCUGUCCUUCUUAAGUCAACCAUGUAACUGAAUGGAUGGUUUGAGGAUUAUGAUUGUCCCUGGGCUUUUUUGAUCAGGUUUUAACUUUAGAGGACAGAGUCAGGGAGAGGUCAGGGAGAGGUCAGAGAGAGGUCAGAGAGAGGUCAGAGAGAGAUCAGAGGAAGGCAGAGAGAGGUCAGGGAGAGGUCAGAGAGAGGUCAGGGAGAGGUCAGGGAGAGGUCAGAGGAAGGCAGAGGAGGUCAGAGAGAGGUCAGAGGAAGGCAGAGAGAGGUCAGAGGAAGGCAGAGAGAGGUCAGAGGAAGGCAGAGAGGUCACAGGAAGGCAGAGAGAGGUCAGAAAGAGGUCAGAGGAAGGCAGAGAGAGGUCAGAGGAAGGCAGAGAGAGGUCAGAGAGAGGUCAGAGGAAGGCAGAGAGAGGUCAGAGAGAGGUCAGAGGAAGGCAGAGAGAGGUCAGAGAGAGGUCAGAGAGAGGUCAGAGGAAGGCAGAGAGAGGUCAGAGAGAGGUCAGAGGAAGGCAGAGAGAGGUCAGAGAGAGGCAGAGAGAGGUCAGAGAGAGGUCAGAGAGAGGUCAGAGGAAGGCAGAGAGAGGUCAGAGAGAGGUCAGAGAGAGGUCAGAGAGAGGUCAGAGGAAGGCAGAGAGAGGUCAGAGAGAGGUCAGAGGAAGGCAGAGAGAGGUCAGAGAGAGGUCAGAGGAGGAUUGGAGUGAGAUUCUUAUGGUGUUUGGAAGAGAUUCUGGGGAGAAUUGAAAGAGAACCGGUGAUAUUCUUGUUAUUUUCAGUGUUAUAAAAAGUGAAUUUCCUCCACUAAACACUUCUAAUUCUUUAAAUGUAUUUUUUUAAUCUCUUUGCUGUUUUUAAAACUCUUCAUCCUGUCAUUUAGACUGAUUUGAUGGUGUAUUCCCCCAUGUCUCUUAUUGCUUCAAUGAAUCCCACUCCAAUACCCUACGGGCCCUCGUCAAAAAUAGUGCACUACUUUUGGAAUAGGGUGCCAACUGGAACGCACCCACUGAGCAUAGGGAUGGAGACAAAACAGCCCUUAACCAGGUGGUAACGCAGCCUAUAAAACAGCCCUUAACCAGUCGGUAACACAGCCUAUAAAACAUCCCGUAACAGGCGGUAACACAGCCUGUAAAACAUCCCGUAACCAGGCGGUAACACAGCCUGUAAAACAGCCCUUAACCAGGCGGUAACACAGCAUAUAAAACAGCACUUAACCAGGCGGUAACACAUUCUAUAAAACAGCACUUAACCAGGCGGUAGCACAGCCUAUACAACUACCGGUAACCAGGCGGUAACACAGCCUAUAAAACAGCACUUAACCAGGCGGUAACACAUUCUAUAAAACAGCCCUUAACCAGGCGGUAACACAGCCUAUACAACAUCCCGUAACAGGCGGUAACACAGCCUGUAAAACAUCCCGUAACAGGCGGUAACACAGCCUGUAAAACAUCCCGUAACAGGCGGUAACACAGCCUGUAAAACAUCCCGUAACCAGUCGGUAACACAGCCUAUAAAACAUCCCGUAACAGGCGGUAACACAGCCUGUAAAACAUCCCGUAACAGGCGGUAACACAGCCUGUAAAACAUCCCGUAACCAGGCGGUAACACAGCCUGUAAAACAGCCCUUAACCAGGCGGUAACACAGCCUGUUAAACAGCCCUUAACCAGGCGGUACACAGCCUAUAAAACAGCACUUAACCAGGCGGUAACACAUUCUAUAAAACAGCACUUAACCAGGCGGUAACACAGCCUAUACAACAUCCCGUAACAGGCGGUAACACAGCCUGUUAAACAGCCCUUAACCAGGCGGUAACACAGCCUAUAAAACAGACCUUAACCAGUCGGUAACACAGCCUAUUAGCUCUGCCAGAUAGAGAGAAGUGUGUUGAUGCUGAGGUGUUCAUGACUGGAAUAUC
rnacentral:lncRNA from 1 species